CGGAGGUACUCGAGUGGCGAACGGGUGAGUAACACGUGGGUGAUCUGCCCUGCACUCUGGGAUAAGCCUUGGAAACUGGGUCUAAUACCGGAUAGGACCAUGCUUUAGUGUGUGUGGUGGAAAGUUUUUUCGGUGUAGGAUGAGCCCGCGGCCUAUCAGCUUGUUGGUGGGGUAAUGGCCUACCAAGGCGGCGACGGGUAGCCGGACCGAGAGGUUGGUCGGCCACAUUGGGACUGAGAUACGGCCCAG
rnacentral:rRNA from 1 species